GUUAGACCUGGAGUGUGUAUGUAUGACAUUCAGAGUGAAUGGGCAAGACAAAAGAUUUAAGUGCCUUUGAACGGGGUAUGGUAGUAGGUGCCAGGCACACCAGUUUGAGUGUGUCAAGAACUGCAACGCUGCUGGAUUUUUCACACUCAGUAGUUUCCCGUGUGUCUUAAUGGUCCACCACCCAAAGGACACCCAGCCAACUUGACACAACUGUGGGAAGCAUUGGGGUCAACAUGGGCCAGCAUCCCUGUGGAACAAAACAAAGCAUACAGGUACACGUGCACUGCUGUGUGCUGGCUUGGUCAGUGCUUUCCUGCAGCCUUCUGCCGCUGUCUCAUAUGCUGGCCCAGCAAGGGGCUAACCAGAGAGUGGCUACUGGGCGGGAGACUGGCCUCUCUGGGUGCUCUCCGGCACGCACCUCAACCUGCCUUAACACACUCCACGAGAGGGACGUGAGAGGCCCUCAUCGUGGAAAAAUUGCAGCCAGUGUAAUUGUGUUCCUUUUCAUGUCCAGUGUGUGACAGCUCAUAUCUCAUAGCACUCAGUUGAGCUUGUUAUAGAUGCCCCCUGCUACUGUGCCUGGCUUGUCUCUUGUCUCCCUGGCUGUGAACCUGCUCUCUCUGGUCUGCAUUGCUUUUAUCUUGCUUGGGUUUAUCUGUGCAGUUAGCCUACUACGCUCUUUGAAACUAGAAAGGACGACCUUCGUUAGAUAAUUUCGUGCCCUGGUUUCUUCACAAUUAAAUUAUACAUUUUCCAUUGGCAUGGCCAUAAUAAAUAUAAUCUAUGAACAAUCUCUCCAUGUCUCACUCUUUCUCCUCUCUUCUUACCCUCAGCCCUCUCUUUCUACCCUCUCUCUCCCUGCCAUAACCUGGAGUAAUUUAUCCUUGAAGACAGGUAUACUGUUGUGAACGAUAUCUUUAUUGUAGGUAUUUUCAUAUGGCUGUUAGUUUUGAGGCAGUUGAAAGAGAGAAAGCUGCACAGGUCCAGGAUGUCAAAGAAAGAACAAGUAAUUGUCAAAUAACAAUGGUAG
rnacentral:lncRNA from 1 species